UACGAAGGGGGGCUAGCGUUGCUCGGAAUCACUGGGCGUAAAGGGUGCGUAGGCGGGUUUUUAAGUCAGGGGUGAAAUCCUGGAGCUCAACUCCAGAACUGCCUUUGAUACUGAAGAUCUUGAGUCCGGGAGAGGUGAGUGGAACUGCGAGUGUAGAGGUGAAAUUCGUAGAUAUUCGCAAGAACACCAGUGGCGAAGGCGGCUCACUGGCCCGGUACUGACGCUGAUGUGCGAAAGCGUGGGGAGCAAACAGGG
rnacentral:rRNA from 1 species